GUCUUUUUGAUCAUAAUUUAAAGUCAUACCUGCUCACUGAAUAUAAUUAAAGAGCCGCAGUAAUUUGACUGUGCAAAGGUAGCAUAAUCAAUAGUUUCUUAAUUAGAAACUGGAAUGAAAGGUUUGACGAGAAGUUAACUGUCUCUUAAUAAUAUAUAAAAUUUAACUUUUAAGUUAAAAGGCUUAAAUAGUUUAUUAGGACAAGAAGACCCUAUAGAGCUUUAUAUGUAAUUUAUAUAAAAUAUAUAUAUAUUUUAUUUUUAUUUUUAAAAUCAUAUUUUAUUGGGGUGAUAUAAAAAAUAAAUAAACUUUUUAUUAUAAGAACAUUAAUGUAUGUUUUUUUGAUCCAUAUUUUUUGAUUAUAAGAUUAAGUUACCUUAGGGAUAACAGCGUUAUUUCUUUUAAGAGUUCUUAUUGACAAAGUAGAUUGCGACCUCGAUGUUGGAUUAAGAUAAAUUUUUGGUGUAGUAGCUAAAUAAUUAGGUCUGUUCGACCUUUAAAUUCUU
rnacentral:rRNA from 1 species